GAUGAACGCUAGCUACAGGCUUAACACAUGCAAGUCGAGGGGCAGCAUUUCAGUUUGCUUGCAAACUGGAGAUGGCGACCGGCGCACGGGUGAGUAACACGUAUCCAACCUGCCGAUAACUCGGGGAUAGCCUUUCGAAAGAAAGAUUAAUACCCGAUGGUAUAAUUAGACCGCAUGGUCUUGUAUUAAGAUUCGGUAUCGAUGGGAUGCGUUCCAUUAGGCAGUUGGUGAGGUAACGGCUCACCAAACCUUCGAUGGAUAGGGGGUUCUGAGAGGAAGGUCCCCCCACAUUGGAACUGAGACACGGUCCAAACUCCUACGGGGGGCAGCAGUGAGGAUAUUGGUCAAUGGACGCGAGUCUGAACCAGCCAAGUAGCGUGAAGGAUGACUGCCCUAUGGGUUGUAAACUUCUUUUAUAUGGGAAUAAAGUGGUCCAGUGUGGAUUUUUGAUGUACCAUAUGAAUAAGGAUCGGGCUAACUCCGUG
rnacentral:rRNA from 1 species